rnacentral:pre_miRNA from 1 species
CAUGUACUCCCUCCGUUCGGAAUUACUUGUCAUCAAAAUGGAUGUAUCUAGAACUAAAAUACAUCUAGAUACAUCCAUUUCAAUGACAAGUAUUUCCGAACGGAGGGAGUAAUAC